CGGCGGUUCCAGUCUGCUCACACAAGGAGUCAGGAACUACUCAGGAAACAGAAUCAUGCAGUCACUACUGAACCACCAGAUACUCCUCACCUGCAGAGUGCCACAGAAUUAGGUGACACUCUAUACCUAUCCUUCCUUGGGAAGAAUAAUUAAGUAAUCUAUUUAUAAUAUUCAAAAAUUUUAUGUGUUCUGCUGGAAAAUUCAAAUGCAAACCUCUAAUUUAAUACACCCGAUAUGUUAUGCUUUAGAACAUCAUGUUUAAUGUUUCUUGCAAUAGUUUUGAAACACUCUUAUGGUGUAACAGUUGUUAUGCAAACCACCCACACUACCUCAAUCAAACUGAACUAACAAUUGAAAGAUUCAUUAUCUGAAUAUUUGUUAAAUAUGCAUAAGAAAAAGCGAAACUAAUGUGCAGAAUAUUCUGUGAGCUACUGACAGAAACCUUUUGUUAAUCUUCAACCUAACUCAAGUCAUGGCAUAUUUUAAUGACAAAUGCAUUUAAUUUUAUUGUUAAGUCAAAAUUCUCAUAUCAGAUUUUUGCAUUUUCAUUUGAUUUUUAAGGAUAUUCAUGGAUCUUCCUUACACUGACAUCCAUUUUUACAUCUCCUUGACAGCCCUUCAUCUGUCUGCACUUUGAGUGCAACUUCUUUUUGCUGCUUUCAUUGCUGCUAUUGAAACAACUGCUUCAGGACAAGCCAAGUUAGCUUACUCCAGCUGCAACAUUUUAUGGUUGCUAGCACCAUAAAGAAAAAAUAAUUUCUUAGAAAAUAGAUACGUAAUAUUCAGGAAGAAUGGACUUUCUUGCAGUACUUAUCCUGUGGAACUCAAACCAGUAGCAAAUACAGACUGGAGUAGUCUAAAACUUGCAAGUGACUCAAAUCAACUGUCUCUUGUUUUACCCCUUUAACCACAGCCAUGAGGCAUGCAGCCCUUUGGAAAGCUCACAAGUGGUAUUUUCCUUUCCAGCUUAAAUUUCCAGAGGCUGUGGGUAAUGAGAAACUUUCUAUUGUCCUCCCUUAUGGAAAAUAUAAAUAUAGAAAGAGUGUUUAAGAUAAAAGGCUGUAGUCAGAUCACAUGAGGAUAGUGGUGUACAUUGCUUGCAUUUCAAGAUGCCCUAUGAAAACACUAACUCAUCAGUGGUCUUUGUUCUCAUGUUUUACAAUAUUAGUGAACAAGAAGAGAUCAAGUGAAGGAGUACAGUUAAAAGAUGACCCACUGUCAUUCUUUUUGCCACAGGGAAAGAUGAUCUUGUAUCCCAACCUGAUCUCUGCCAAAACCUCUGAGAUGUGCUUUCAACAUGCCAAAAAGUUAUGCUUGAUACAAACAGAGAGUGAGUGAAUAGUUCCUGAAGGCUGGUGUCAAGUUCUGUUUGUAUGGCCAAAGGUAUAUCAAACAACUUUUUUAAGUCUUCACUUUCUGAUUUGAGAAGUAUGAACUUUGCUGAACUUCACACCCUUAAAACAUAGUUGGAAUGUGAAACAGACAUCAAAAGUGAACAAAGCAGUGAAGAGUUAUGUUGAUCCCAAAUCACCAUAAUGAAGUAUUGCUCACUGGAGAACCACAAUAGCUGAUGGCAUCUGAUAACACAGUUAAAUGCCUUAGCAUAAACCACUACAAACACCAAAUCUUUGUAAACUAAAAUAAAUGGUUUGUCAGACUAAUAAAUCAGUCAAUGAAGGAUAUAUAGUUUGUUGUUUUGGGUUUUUUUUAAGUCUGCAUGCUAAUGACAACUUCAUUUUUGAGCCAGGAAUUGUGAGUGAAAAUGGUUUGAUGCCAGCUACUGAAUGGUGAAGUAUUUACCACGAACAUUCUCAACAUAGUUACUCACCAUUGUUACACUUGGCAUUCUAUUUGCUACUGUCUAAAAUGAUAGGAUAUUUUCAAAGACAGCAUGUGAGUAUCAGGUUUUUCUUUUUACUGCAAAGAAAAAAUGAAGCUUAUGAAAUGUAAUGCCUUCCUGUAAGGAAAAAGAUGGAAGACUGAGGGUUCUAACGCUUAUUUUGUAUAUCAAAUUGACCCUUUAAGGGAACUUUACCUGUUUUUAUUUAAGUCUUCCCCAAAUCAACCCGAAACCUAAGGUUUAUUUUGCCAGUAUGAUCAUACAGUAUUUCACAUCCUGCAGGCUCUGGUUACACUCCAGAUCAAUUUUCAUUCCAGCAUUUUAUUUUCCAGAAGUUAUUUUUGUCACCCUUGUUCUGAAGGUAACAAACAUCUUUUGCAUAUGUAACAUUUACAUUUUCACACAAGGGAUCAAUUUACAAGCUUGUGUGUUUAUAAACCAAUAAAAAGCCAACUAGAAAACCUAUAUCCUAAUAAUCUGCAUGCCUGCUCAGUUCACCUCCCUGGCUCCCUGUGUCAAAUCCUUUCAUCUGACUGAGUAUUUCCUGUGAAUCUUUGUCAAGUCUUGAUAAUUUUGAAGACAUGCACAUCUCAAAUGCAUAUUGCACAUAUUAAAAUAUAGUAAUUAUUUGGGUUUUUUUAAUUGAAUAUACCAUUCUAUUCCUCUUUAUUAUUCCUUAUUUAUCCUUGCUCUUUGGACAACCACUUCUAGAUUUUCUCCAAACCCCAUUUUAUGACACAGAAAGCACAUUCUUCUAAAUUUAUUUUUUUAAUUUUACUGAGACAUUACAGAUUCCUCACAGUCACUCUAUUUUAUGCUUUGUUCCUGCAAAGGAACAAGAACAGAAAUGCAAUUAGACCAACUUUGAGGAGUUUUACAUGCUCCUUUAUAUGUGUUGGCAAGCCAUAAUUAGUUAAUAUUAGCAAUAAGCUAGAUUUUAUUACCUCUUACAGAAUUCAAAAUACGAUUGCUGGAGAAAGGACACCAUGGAGAUACAAUCUUAGAAUUGUAUUUCUAACAGUCCAAAUGUUAUAUGACUCAAAAUAAUUUGCUUUUUUUUCUUCCAUUUGUAAUGGUAAUUGGUCUCUGCUGCCAGAACAAGCUCUGCUUGUCAUGGUAUCUGGUAAUAUUAUUACUCUAUUUCAAGAUGUCAUGAUAAUAAAAGCUGAAAUUCUCCCAAUUGCAUAUUCAGAGUCUAUAGUGUUUUCCAAAAUAUUCUGAUGCCCUAAUAUUCUCAAUGCAUCUUUAAUGAAAUGUAGUCAAGAUUAUUGAUGUAGAUAUUAGCAGCAUUUUUUUUAUUUGAGAGAGAUUUUUACAUCCCAUGGAAGUUAUUGGGGUAAAUAUUGGGAAAGAACCUGAGUGAAAUUUUAUCUCCUUCUUGGGCAGGGGUUUGGUUUUGAAUAUAUGAUUUGCACUCUCCUUAAAUGCAUAUUCUGAUUACUGAAGUUUCAGUACCUUCACAUGGCAUAAAAAAAGUAUUAGAAGAGAAAGAUAAAAAUGCUUCAGAGGAUAGAGGCUGGAACUUUCAGAAAGUAUUUCAAUGUCUAACUCCCACCAAGAGUAAAGGCCUUGCAAGAGAGGCUGAAAAUUCUUCCCAGUGUCAAUUUAAAAUAUUGAUUUAUAGAGUAUACUAUACACAGAAUAGACUGUGAAAUUGCAAUUACAUUAAUUGUCAAAGGAUGAUUUACCUGACCUAUAAUGCAAACGUACACAUCGUAUUGUACUGAAAUACUGAGAUAUUGUGUGCUACAACAGAGAACAAAAACCAUGGAUAAGUUAAUUUUGCCUUUCAAAUUUAUAGAAAUUUAACUUGCCCACCUUUAUCUGCAUUGAGUUUGGAACUACUGAUUUUCAGAUUAACAAAUGACCUGCAACCUGGUCAAAUUAGCAAAGUUUGUAGCUUGAAAAGAUCACAGGGACAUGAAGCUGACUCAUUUUCCAGGGUGAAAUAAAAGAACAGAAAUCUCUCAAUAACACUGUUUAAUUGUUUAAUUUAAUAUUUCUGUAUAUAUUCCAAAUAGGAGAAUUUGCUUAUAAAUAAUGUUGGCACUCCAUUUUAGAGAGGCUUUGUGUAGGCAGCUUUCUGAGCUAUCAUUUAGUCUGAUUAUUUUUAAUUUUAGGCAAACAAGAUGACUACAAAUGUAUCUCUCACACUAAGAAGAUAAUUGAGAUUGAACCUUCUAACCUUUAUGACUUUUUUCCACAGAUCACAGUAAAUAGACUAUUUAAAUUGUUAUUAAUUUUGCUGGUGUCUGUGUCUAGUUUUAAAUAUUCCAUUACAUCAGUGGCACAGAGAAUUCCCUGCAUGAGCCAUGGGAAAGAUGCUGACCUAAUUAUUUUAGAAAUAACUAUGUAGAAAAAUCUAAAAGGAUUAACAAAGGAAAUAUUAUGUCACUACCAAAUUAAUAACUAAAAUAGCAUGAAAAUCACUGUAUAAUUAUCUAGGUUUCCAUAGCAACUGUCUUUGAUGGGUCGCCAAAAAGACUUCUGAUUGAGCUUCAAUACUUCUGCUCUCCCUGCAAUACAUGAUUUCUGAUCUGCCUUUGACAAACAACCAACCAGCAUACAUCCUUAUCCUACAAUCUUUAAGCAACAAUCCUCAAAAGCACUAAUCAGCCACAUGCUUUUUUCAGGUCUGAACUCUUGAACUUAAAUAUGCAAAAAUAUUUUUCAAGUGUAUUAUUACAAAUACAGAGCUACCAAAAAAGAAAA